rnacentral:rRNA from 1 species
GAUGAACGCUUGCGGCGUGCUUAACACAUGCAAGUCGAACGAAGCACUUUAUUUGAUUUCCUUCGGGACUGAUUAUUUUGUGACUGAGUGGCGGACGGGUGAGUAACGCGUGGGUAACCUGCCUUGUACAGGGGGAUAACAGUUGGAAACGGCUGCUAAUACCGCAUAUGCGCACAGCAUCGCAUGAUGCAGUGUGAAAAACUCCGGUGGUAUAAGAUGGACCCGCGUUGGAUUAGCUAGUUGGUGAGGUAACGGCCCACCAAGGCGACGAUCCAUAGCCGACCUGAGAGGGUGACCGGCCACAUUGGGACUGAGACACGGCCCAAACUCCUACGGGAGGCAGCAGUGGGGAAUAUUGCACAAUGGGCGAAAGCCUGAUGCAGCGACGCCGCGUGAGCGAAGAAGUAUUUCGGUAUGUAAAGCUCUAUCAGCAGGGAAGAUAAUGACGGUACCUGACUAAGAAGCACCGGCUAAAUACGUGCCAGCAGCCGCGGUAAUACGUAUGGUGCAAGCGUUAUCCGGAUUUACUGGGUGUAAAGGGAGCGCAGGCGGUGCGGCAAGUCUGAUGUGAAAGCCCGGGGCUCUUCCCCGGGUACUGCCUUGGAAAACUGUCGUACUAGAGUGUCGGAGGGGUAAGCGGAAUUCCUUGUGUAGCGGGUGAAAUUGCGUAGAUAUUUGGUGGUUCUCCCGUGGCGGUGGCGGCUUACUGGACGAUAAAUGACGCGGGGGCUCGAAAGCGUGGGGNGCCAAAAAAAUUCGCUNCCCUGGUUGUCCNCGCCGUNNCCCCCCAAAAAGGGGUGUUGGGAAGCAUUGCUUCUCGGUGCCGUCGCAAACGCAGUAAGUAUUCCACCUGGGGAGUACGUUCGCAAGAAUGAGACUCAAAGGAAUUGACGGGGACCUGCACAAGCGGUGGAGCAUGUGGUUUAAUUCGAAGCAACGCGAAGAACCUUACCAAGUCUUGACAUCCUUCUGACCGGUACUUAACCGUACCUUCUCUUCGGAGCAGGAGUGACAGGUGGUGCAUGGUUGUCGUCAGCUCGUGUCGUGAGAUGUUGGGUUAAGUCCCGCAACGAGCGCAACCCUUAUCUUUAGUAGCCAGCGGUCCGGCCGGGCACUCUAGAGAGACUGCCAGGGAUAACCUGGAGGAAGGCGGGGAGGACGUCAAAUCAUCAUGCCCCCUAUGACUUGGGCUACACACGUGCUACAAUGGCGUAAACAAAGGGAAGCAAAGCUGUGAAGCCGAGCAAAUCUCAAAAAUAACGUCUCAGUUCGGACUGUAGUCUGCAACCCGACUACACGAAGCUGGAAUCGCUAGUAAUCGCAGAUCAGAAUGCUGCGGUGAAUAAAAUCCCGGGUCUUGCACA